AGUGAACGCUGGCGGUAGGCCUAACACAUGCAAGUCGAACGGCAGCACAGUAAGAGCUUGCUCUUACGGGUGGCGAGUGGCGGACGGGUGAGGAAUACAUCGGAAUCUACUUUUUCGUGGGGGAUAACGUAGGGAAACUUACGCUCAUACCGCAUACGCCCUACGGGUGAAAGCAGGGGAUCUUUGGACCUUGCGCGAUUGAAUGAGCCGAUGUCGGAUUAGCUAGUUGGCGGGGUAAAGGCCCACCAAGGCGACGAUCCGUAGCUGGUCUGAGAGGAUGAUCAGCCACACUAGAACUGGGACACGGUCCAUACUCCUACGGGAGGCAGCAGUGUGGAAUGGUGGACAAUGGGCGCAAGCCUGAUCCAGCCAUACCGCGUGGGUGAAGGAGGCCUUGGGGUUGUAAAGCCCUUUUGUUGGGUAAGAACAGCAGCAGGUUAAUACCCCGCUGUUCUGACGGUACCCAAUGAAUAAGCACCGGCUAACUUCGUG
rnacentral:rRNA from 1 species